AUGGUACUAGUACUAUUGAGAAGAAGGUGUUUUUUCAACUCUCACAACACACUCGCAGGUUUUUCUUUCUCCUUCUUCAUUUCGUUCUUCGAUUCUUCUUUCAUCAAUUCCAAACCCUACCACAGGUCUUGGAACUUGAACAUUGCUUCUUCGGUCUUGUGCUGGAAUUGUAUGAAAAAUGGUGUCAUUGGCAUAGGUCAAUCUGAAUGCGAGGGCUGUAGUUAUUGGAGGGGAUUUAUGCUUUGUUGGCUAUAG